GCAUGCAGGGCUUCAGAAUGUAACCCCAGCAUAAGUGGGGAGACGCCUGUAUUUGAAAGUGGAUGGACACUGCCUUGUGAUGUCUCAGAAACUGGAGUGAAAAUGUGCCAGAGCAGGACUGGGGCUGCCACUAUGAAAACUUUUCCAAGGUUGAUGGAAGCAGUAGCAAUAAGGCCUGCUUGAAGAAGAAUGAUUUCGCCUGGUAUCUAAAAAUAUAUAAGGAAGGCACCAGACUAAUCUCCCUGGGAGAGUAUUCCACAAACAGGGAGCCACUGCAGAAAAGGUCCAUUCUCAUGUUGCCAUCCUCUGGACGUCAUGUAGAGGAGGCACACAAAUAAGGGCCCCAAAUGCAGAGCCCAGGUCGGUUUAUAUGCUUUACACAGUUUACACAUCUUAGUAAAGCCAGAUUACCUUCUAGAAGUCACACUCUGCCUUACUAUUACAAUGUCAUUCCCAUCAGUGACAUUCAGACAUAUCUGGGGAAUCCACAGAGCUAGGGAACUGGUCAACUUCAAGUGGCAAAUUAUCUCCCUGUGUUCCUUCCUUCAGCUACAGUGAAACAGCCAACCAUGUUCCCAAAAAGCGUAACAGCAGUUCACUUCUAUACCCUGGAGAAGGACAGCCACAAGAUGCACAUAUGCCACAUUAAGCAGCUAUACUGAAACUAUAAUCCCAAUUAUUUUUAUGAGAAGCUUUCUUUGUAACUGCAAUUAGAUAGAGAAGUAAUAUGUAGCAUUGUGUUGAACAAUAAAAUACCCAAAACUCUA